ACAUAGGGUGCAAGCGUUGUCCGGAAUUAUUGGGCGUAAAGAGCUCGUAGGUGGUUCGUCACGUCGGAUGUGAAACUCUGGGGCUUAACCCCAGACCUGCAUUCGAUACGGGCGAGCUUGAGUAUGGUAGGGGAGUCUGGAAUUCCUGGUGCAGCGGUGGAAUGCGCAGAUAUCAGGAGGAACGCCAAUGGCGAAGGCAGGACUCUGGGCCAUUACUGACACUGAGGAGCGAAAGCGUGGGGAGCGAACAGGAUUAGAUACCCUGGUAGUCCACGCCGUAAACUAUGGACGCUAGGUGUGGGGGACAUUCCACGUUCUCUGCGCCGCAGCUAACGCAUUAAGCGUCCCGCCUGGGGAGUACGACCGCAAGGUUA
rnacentral:rRNA from 1 species